CAUGUCUUUUUGUAAAAUAUUUAAAGUNUAAUCUGCCCACUGAAAUUUUUAAAGGGCCGCAGUAACCUGACUGUGCAAAGGUAGCAUAAUCAUUUGUCUCUUAAUUGGAGGCUUGUAUGAAUGAUUGGACGAGGUAGGAGCUGUCUCAUUAUUAUAAUUAUAAUAAUUUAGCUUUUUAGUUAAAAGGCUAAAAUUUUUUUGGAGGACGAGAAGACCCUAUAGAUCUUUAUAAUAUUUAAUUUACUUUUACUUUGGUUAAAAAUUUUUUAGUAUAUUAUUAAUUAUUUUGUUGGGGUGACAUGAAAAUUUAUUUAACUUUUCAUUUAUUUAAACAUGAAUUAGUGAAUAUUCGAUCCAUUUUUAGUGAUUGUAAGAAUAAGUUACCUUAGGGAUAACAGCGUUAUUUUAUUGGAGAGUUCAUAUUGAUAAUAAAGUUUGCGACCUC
rnacentral:rRNA from 1 species